rnacentral:rRNA from 1 species
GACGAACGCUGGCGGCGUGCUUAACACAUGCAAGUCGAACGGAAAGGCCUGUCCUCCCUUGUGUUGGACGGGUACUCGAGUGGCGAACGGGUGAGUAACACGUGAGUGAUCUGCCCCCAACUUGGGUAUAAGCCUGGGAAACUGGGUCUAAUUCCCGAUAGGACUGCAGGGUGGUGCCUGUGGUGGAAAACGAUUUUCUAGUGGUUGGGGAUGAGCUCGCGGCCUAUCAGCUUGUUGGUGGGGUAAUGGCCUACCAAGGCGGCGACGGGUAGCCGGCCUGGGAGGGUGGACGGCCACAUUGGGACUGAGAUACGGCCCAGACUCCUACGGGAGGCAGCAGUGGGGAAGAUUGCACAAUGGGCGGAAGCCUGAUGCAGCGACGCCGCGUGGGGGAUGACGGCCUUCGGGUUGUAAACUCCUUUCGACCGCGAGGAAGCCGCCUGGUUGGAAGGGUGGUGACGGUAGUGGUAGAAGAAGCACCGGCUAACUACGUG